rnacentral:rRNA from 1 species
ACACGUCUACAUUAGAUACCCGNGUAGUCCCAGCCGUAAACUAUGCGCGUUAGGUGUAUCGGUGACCACGAGUCACCGAGGUGCCGAAGGGAAACCGUGAAACGUGCCGCCUGGGAAGUACGGUCGCAAGGCUAGAAACUUAAAGGAAUUGGCGGGGAGCACCACAACGGGUGGAGCCUGCGGUUAAUUGGACUCAACGCCGGGAAGCUCACCGGAUAAGACAGCGGAAUGAUUGCCGGGCUGAAGACUCUGCAUGACUAGCUG